GACGAACGCUGGCGGCGUGCUUAACACAUGCAAGUCGAACGGAAAGGCCCUGCUUUUGUGGGGUGCUCGAGUGGCGAACGGGUGAGUAACACGUGAGUAACCUGCCCUUGACUUUGGGAUAACUUCAGGAAACUGGGGCUAAUACCUGAUAGGAGCUCCUGCUGCAUGGUGGGGGUUGGAAAGUUUCGGCGGUUGGGGAUGGACUGGCGGCUUAUCAGUUUGUUGGUGGGGUAGUGGCUUGCCAAGGCUUUGAUGGGUAGCCGGCCUGAGAGGGUGACCGGCCACAUUGGGACUGAGAUACGGCCCAGACUCCUACGGGAGGCAGCAGUGGGGAAUAUUGCACAAUGGGCGGAAGCCUGAUGCAGCAACGCCGCGUGCGGGAUGACGGCCUUCGGGUUGUAAACCGCUUUCGCCUGUGACGAAGCGUGAGUGACGGUAAUGGGUAAAGAAGCACCGGCUAACUACGUG
rnacentral:rRNA from 1 species